CGCCCGUCAAACCAUGGGAGCUGGUAAUGCCCGAAGUCGGUUUAUAAACAAACUGCCUAAGGCAGGACUGGUGACUGGGGUUAAGUCGUAACAAGGUAUCCCUACGAGAACGUGGGGAUGGAUCACCUCCUUUCUACGGAGUACAUUAAGAAUUCAAUUAUUGGAAUAUGAAUUCACUUUAACCUUAAAUUUAAUAAUUUUCGACCUAACAUCAUUUUAUAUAUAUCAACAGUUCAUGGCUUUUUUAGGUCAUAAGCAUUAUGUCUAGUUUUGAGAGAACAUUCUCUCAAUUGUUCUUUGAAAACUGAAUAGUAAAUUAUUUUAAAAUAUUUACAACGACAUCUAAACAAAUAUAAAUUUUAAAUUUAGUCAAUUUGUUUUGAUUCAUCGAGUAAUCAUAAAACAUUAUGAUUCAUUGAAAUGUCUUAAAAUACACAUCAUAAAAUAACCAAUUAGGAACAUACUUUUAAAUAAGGAAGAGUUUGUGGUGGAUGCCUUGGGUCUGAAAGUCGAUGAAGGACGUGAUUACCUGCGAUAAGCCUCGUGGAGCCGGAUAUAUGCUAUGAAGCGGGGAUUUCCGAAUGGGGAAACCUAACUAGAGUAAUGUCUAGUUGCCAUUUUUUGAAUACAUAGGAAAAUGAGUGAGACACCUUGUGAACUGAAACAUCUUAGUAGCAAGAGGAAAAGAAAAUAAAUAAUGAUUUCUUUAGUAGCGGCGAGCGAACGAGAAUGAGCCCAAACCAUUUUUAUGGGGUUGUAGGACGAUCUACAUAGAGUUACAAAACUUAAUGAUAGCAGAAGCUUUUGGGAAGAAGCGACAGAGAGGGUGAUAUCCCCGUAUGCGAAAUUGUUAAGUCUCUUGGUCGUAUCCUGAGUAGGGCGGGGCACGUGAAACCCUGUCUGAAUCUGCCGGGACCACCCGGUAAGGCUAAAUACUAAUCAGACACCGAUAGUGAACUA
rnacentral:sRNA from 2 species